AGCGGGGUGAUGUUCGCGUCGCCCCGGCGGACCGAAAGGGAAUCGGGUUAAUAUUCCCGAACCUCGACGCGGAGAUUGGCGCUCCGGCGCCUAGUGCGGCAACGCAAACGAACUCGGAAACGCCGACGUGGGUCCCGGGAAGAGUUCUCUUUUCUUGGUAAGGGGCGGCGACCCUGGAAUCGGUUCGCCCGGAGAUAGGGACAUGGGCCCCGUAAAGCAGCACGUCUCUUGUGCUGUCCGGUGAGCUCGCGUCGGCCCUUGAAAAUCCGAGGGAGACGGUGUAAUUUUCGUGCGAGGUCGUACCCAUAUCCGCAGCAGGUCUCCAAGGUGAACAGCCUCUGGCCGAUAGAACAAUGUAGGUAAGGGAAGUCGGCAAACUAGAUCCGUAACUUCGGGAAAAGGAUUGGCUCUAGGGGCUGGGUCGGUCGGGCUGAGGUACGAAGCGGGGCGCGGCGCUGUACCGGACUGGGCGAACGACGGCCUCCCUCGCGGGGGGCUGGCGUGAGCCUGGACCUGUGUCGGCGUCUUCCCGUGGAAUGCCGCAGCUAACGCGGGCCUCGCGGCCCGCUUCGGCCGGCGUCGAACAGCCGACUUAGAACUGGUACGGACCGGGGGAAUCCGACUGUUUAAUUAAAACAAAGCUUUGCGAUGGCCGUCAGCCGGUGUUGACGUCAAUGUGAUUUCUGCC
rnacentral:ncRNA from 1 species